UUGAAAAGAGAGUUAAAAAGCACGUGAAAUUGUUGAAAGGGAAGCGCUUGCGACCAGACUCGCCUCCAGGGUUCAGCCGGCAUUCGUGCCGGUGUACUUCCCUGGGGGCGGGCCAGCGUCGGUUUGGGCGGCCGGUCAAAGGCUCCCGGAAUGUAGUGCCCUCCGGGGCACCUUAUAGCCGGGAGUGCAAUGCGGCCAGCCUGGACCGAGGAACGCGCUUCGGCACGGACGCUGGCAUAAUGGUCGUAAACGACCCGUCUUGAAACACGGACCAAGACGCGGGUCGAUUACGACCAUUAUGCC
rnacentral:rRNA from 2 species